ensembl:lncRNA
GGGAAGCCAUCCAGAGGGACGUGGGCAGGCUGGAGAAGUGGGCCCAUGAUAAGCUAAUGAGGUUCAACAAGGCCAAGUGCAAGGCAUUGCACUUGGGUCAGGGCAGUCCCAGGUAUUUAUUUAUACAAACUGGGGGAAGAUCUCCUUGAGAGCAGCCCUGCAAAGAAGGAAUUGGGAGUCCUGGUGGGGAAGAAGCUGGACAAGAGCCAGCAGUGUGCACUUGCAGCACCGAAGGCCAACUGUGUUCUGAGCUGCAUUAGAAAAGGGGUGGCUCCCUCUACUCAGCUCUUGUGAGGCCUCAUCUGGAGUACUGAGUCCUGCCUCAGUACAGGAAGGACAUGGAGCUCUUAGAGCAGGUCCAGAGAAGGGUCACUAAGAUGAUCAGAGGGCUGGAGCACCUCUCCUGUGAAGAAAAGUUGAGGGAACUGGGCUUGCUUAGCUUGGAGAAGGGAAGGCUCCAGGGAGACCUCAUUGUAGCCUUUCAAUACUUGAACGGAGCUUAUAAACAGGAGGGGGAAUGGUUGUUCACAAGGUUGGAUAGUGAUAAGACAAGGGGGAACGGUUUUAAACUGAGACAGGGAGGUUUAGGUUAGAUACUAGGAGGAAGUUUUUCACUCAGAGGGUGAUGACACACUGGAACAGGUUGCCCAAGGAGGUUGUGGAUGCCCCAUGCCUGGAGGCAUUCAAGGCCAGGCUGGAUGUGGCUCUGGGCAACCUGGUCUAGUGGUUAGCAACCCUGCAUUCAGCAGGGGGUUGAAUCUAGAUAAUCAUUAUGGUCUUUUUCAACACAAGCCAUUCUAUUAUUCUAUGAUUCACUGAAGCUGAAAAGGGAAUUUUUAGAACAGCCAUUUAGAGAUUCCUUUUGCUAAACUAAUAUAUUGGUUCUUAAACUAAUGCACCAGUCCUUAUUGCUAAAGAAACAACCUAUAUCAGAUGCAUACAGUGAGUAACACUUAAAGAGCAAAAUCUUGCUGACACUGAACUUAGCUGAAUUUGUCAGCUAAGUAUUCCAUCAUGAUACAACAUUGCUCACACUGUUGAAAGGCAUAAAACAUUUAUGUAAUUAUAUUCAGAUAAGACUUAAUAUUCCCUAGGCACUUAACAAAGUGCACACAUGCAGCCUCAUCUCCUCACCAUCACUGCCUGUACUCCCG